AUCUGCUUUGGUAGGAGCUGCCGAAGGCUGCGAUCUUUUGAUCUGGUCUUUAACGGGCAAGAUCAAAAGAUCGCAGCCUUCGGCAGCUCC
rnacentral:tRNA from 1 species